UUCUCUCUCUCUCUCGCUCUCGAUAUUUCCACCUGUGAGGCCGUUGUUCUUCAAUCUCUCGUUCGCUUCUCCUCUGUGACUGUAAAUCACUCGUCACUCCUCAGCUCUCUCUCUUUCUUCUCACUAACCACUCCUCUUGUGCGACUUAUCAGCAAUCUUGCUGUGAAAUCUUGAGAAUGAGAGUGGAGGCAAUUGAAAAUUUCAGAAAGAAGUGGACUAAUAAAAAAAAAAAUAUGUACACAGCUUGUUUCUUGCUACAAAUCUUUGACCUAGCAACAGAAGUUCUAUUUUAUUUUUAGGAAACUGUUUAUUUUCUUUUGUUAGUUUUACCCAUUUUUUUAACUGUCCAGCUGUGAUAAUGAAAUGAAUUGUUUGUAUACUUACUCCCAAGUAAGAUUCUGCAAGCUCGUUGUUUGCUUUAGACUUA